UACGGAGGAUGCGAGCGUUAUCCGGAUUUAUUGGGUUUAAAGGGUGCGUAGGCGGACUGUCAAGUCAGCGGUAAAAUUGAGAGGCUCAACCUCUUCCCGCCGUUGAAACUGGUGGUCUUGAGUGGAUGAGAAGUACGCGGAAUGCGUGGUGUAGAGGUGAAAUGCAUAGAUAUCACGCAGAACUCCGAUUGCGAAGGCAGCGUACCGGCAUCCAACUGACGCUGAGGCACGAAAGCGUGGGGAUCAAACAGG
rnacentral:rRNA from 1 species